rnacentral:tRNA from 1 species
GGGGCCUUAGCUCAGCUGGGAGAGCACCUGCUUUGCAAGCAGGGGGUCGUCGGUUCGAUCCCGUCAUCCUCCA